rnacentral:rRNA from 1 species
CGCCUCUUGCAAUCAAAGUAUAAGAGGUCCUGCCUGCCCAGUGACACUAAGUUUAACGGCCGCGGUAUUAUGACCGUGCAAAGGUAGCGUAAUCACUUGUCUUUUAAAUAAAGACCAGUAUGAAUGGCAAGACGAAAGUUCAUCUGUCUCCCUAAAUUAAUCAAUGAAAUUGAUUUUUCCGUGCAAAAGCGGAAAUGUAAUUAUAAGACGAGAAGACCCUAUGGAGCUUUAAAUAUAUAAUCAACUGCAUAGCAAAAAUACGAAAGAUAAAAUAUUAAAUAAAACAGUAUGAUCAAAAUUUUAGGUUGGGGUGACCACGGAGAAAAACAAAACCUCCGAGAUGAAGAGAAUAUCUUAAUUUAAGAACUACAGUUCUAAGAAAUAAAAUAUUUAACAUAAUUGAUCCAAUAUAUUGAUCAACGAACCAAGUUACCCUAGGGAUAACAGCGCAAUCCUCUCCAAGAGUCCCUAUCGACGAGUGGGUUUACGACCUCGAUGUUGGAUCAGGACACCCCAAUGGUGCAGCCGCUAUUAAAGGUUCGUUUGUUCAACGAUUAAAGUCCUACGUGAUCUGAGUUCAGACCGGAGUAAUCCAGGUCAGUUUCUAUCUAUAAAAAUUUUUUUCUAGUACGAAAGGACCGAAAAAAUGGAGCCAAUAUAAAAACAAGCCCCACCUUCCCCUGUUGAAAACAAUUAAAAUAGAAUUAGGUAAAUAAUUCAAACCCCUAGAUAAGGGUUA